rnacentral:tRNA from 3 species
GGAAGGGUGGCUGAGUGGUUGAAGGCACCUGACUCGAAAUCAGACGUAGUCGCAAGGCUACCGUGGGUUCAAAUCCCACCCCUUCCGCCA